UGAGGAAUAUUGGUCAAUGGGCGCAAGCCUGAACCAGCCAUCCCGCGUGCAGGAAGACGGCGCUAUGCGUUGUAAACUGCUUUUCCAGGGAGAGAAACUUGCGCACGUGUUGCGCAAUUGACGGUACCCUGGGAAUAAGCAUCGGCUAACUCCGUGCCAGCAGCCGCGGUAAUACGGAGGAUGCGAGCGUUAUCCGGAUUCAUUGGGUCUAAAGGGUGCGUAGGCGGACUAUUAAGUCAGUGGUGAAAUCCUGCAGCUUAACUGCAGAACUGCCAUUGAUACUGAUAGCCUUGAGUUUGGUUAAGGUAGGCGGAAUGUGUGAUGUAGCGGUGAAAUGCUUAGAUAUUACACAGAACACCAAUUGCGUAGGCAGCUUACUGAGCCGACACUGACGCUGAGGCUCGAAAGCGUGGGGAUCGAACAG
rnacentral:rRNA from 1 species